UACGUAGGGUGCUAGCGUUGUUCGGAAUUACUGGGCGUAAAGCGCACGUAGGCGGCUUUGUAAGUUAGAUGUGAAAGCCUGGAGCUCAACUCCAGAAUUGCCUUUGAGACUGCAUCGCUUGAACACGGGAGAGGUGACUGGAAUUCCUGGUGUAGCGGUGAAAUGCGCAGAUAUCAGGAGGAACACCGGUGGCGAAGGCGGGUCUCUGGGCCGAUACUGACGCUGAGGAGCGAAAGCGUGGGGAGCGAACAGG
rnacentral:rRNA from 1 species